GUUGUCUUUUUUUGUUUGGACCUCUUAAUUUAUAGUUAUUGGAAUGUUGUGUUUCUUAGUUUGAUACUGGGAUGGGAAGAGUGUGAAGUGCAUUGCUUGAGACAGAUUGUCUGUUGAGGAAGGACCAGGGUGGGUUUGCUGCCUAUGGGGUUUGAUGCCUCACAGAAUUGAUAGCGCUGUUUUGGCUUUUUCUCAGUUUUCUUUUUCAAAUCACUCCUUUUAGUGUGGUUGUAAAACAACAGCCCUUGUUGUCAAGCCAUUCUGUUUAAUGCCUUCAUUUUUUGUCAGCUCCUAUAGAAACACAUUCCUGAUACAUGUCUGUGUGAAGGUUCAGCCUUUCUCAACUUCUGAUGAGAAAAAACAAUGGGAAAUUUUAAGUUAUUUGGCAAUUUACUUGCAGGAUGAUCCAUUAUGUGUGUAUGUGCUGGUGAUCCUGGUAACUCAGCAAGGAAAUACAAAGUUAACAGUUUUUGUUUCUUGCCAGUGAGGUUCUAGUUUUCUUUUCAGUCUUACUUUCUUUGUAAUACUGUUCAAGUUAAUGUACUUUUUGAGUUACUUUGGGAAUGUCUAAUAAAAGAUAAGUUGCAAUAAGUGUGUUUAUUAAAAACAAACUCAAGUACGCUUCUCCACCAUUUUGCAGUUAUUUUUAUGAAUGUACUGUAAUUGGAGUUUGCAUUUAUUAUUAAAAUGAUUGCAGUGUGACUCUUCAGUGUGCAGCUCAUUAAAAACAGUGAUUUAAAUACAAAAUAUAGUUUCUUAAGAGAUUUCUUUAGUUAAAUUAAGAAUUUCUGCAGAAAAGAAAAUUAAGUCAUAGAUCUAGUGAAUUAAAUUUUAUAUAAAAAUUGAAGAAAUAAUCCCUAAACAAUACUAAUAUAUGUAAUGAUUAGCGUAUUGUAGUUUCAAGUACGUAUAUAUCAGCAUUCUGGGUUGAGGUUCAUCCAGUGUGAAUUUGAGUGUGAUUUAUUAUUGGGAAAGGGAUUAGCAGCCAGGUCUGUAGUUCUUUAAUUCAUAAUUCAGCAGCCAGCGUUUCACACCUGGUGAACAAGAGGGUGCAUUUUCCUUUUUUGCAUGUGUGUAUGACCUAAGAAACCUUCCAAUAGACUGUUCACAGGAUGUGAAAUGUAAAAGGCAGACAGGGCACCGAUGUCACUUCUGCCUGAGAGCUCCCCUAAAUUGUGUUCUCCUCACGUGCUUUGGUGCAAGUAACAGGACAAAACAGAGGACAGUGAGAGGUCAGGCCCCUUGGGCAUUGUGGACCACUGUGUAACAGGAAUGGUUCUUUCAGAACUGACUCAGGAAAUGGAUCUGGUUGAUUAUUCAAGACCUUCAGCAAAGCCUUGUAAAAGAGUUGCCUCAUUUCGUGACACCUCUCUGAAGGACAUUCUGCUGCUUGUGUGCUCUUUAGAAGGAGAGCUUUCCAGAUGAUCUCUUUGAUGGAUGCCCAGUUACCCCAGUAAAAAAAUGAAGACGUAGAACUGGCAGUUCUGUGGUUCUUGGAUCAGAGUGUGAGAGCCCAGCUUCAGCACAGCUCAAAGCAAGCCUGGUACAGCUGCCUCUCACCUGCCCAGGUAGAUGCCCACAGUCCGGAGCCCCAUUUUUGCCAGCUCAUCUAACAAAAGCUGUGUGUGAAGGCAUUUGAGCUCCCUGUUUUGGUGCUUCUGUAAACACUUUCAUGCAGGCUGAGCUGUUGGUGUGCACUCUGCAGCUCAGAGGCAGCAGAAGGCAGCACUGGGUGGCUGCUGCUGCUGUAGCAGCUCACAAAGCAGCAGAUGGCACGCUGCCCUCACGGCUGUAAAUCCUCACAUACGGGUCCUGCUGGCAGCUCUCUGCGCACCGGCCAUGAGCAGGAUCACGCCUGGAAGCAGAAAAGUCAGGCAUACGUUGAAUGACUAAGUUAAUACACAUUUAUAUAAAUAUUCAGGAUUGCUCAGAUUGUUUUAUUUGUGGAAAGGAUAAUGGAAAUUUUGCGUGCUUCAGCCACAUUGUAAUGAUUUUGUUUGCUCAUAUGCUUGCAUACAGACAAACAGAAAAUGGUUAGAGAACAGUGAAGAGUCUAAUGAAAAUGUAGAACAAGUCUUCUAUAUAAAAUAGAGAUUUUGUUCAUUAAUUAACUCAUAUUCUUAAGCAUGUGCAUGUAAUAAAAGCAAGCUCAUUAUAGAUAAAGAGAACUGGCUAGGUAAAUGAAUGCAUUUUUAUUAACCAGCCCACUGGGGCUUACUGUCUGAGGAACGAGAGCAAAACCUCAGAGAUUUCUUCCAUGAUGCUGUAAUACACUUUUAGUGCCAUAACUAUUCCUGUACAAAAGUAGUGCAUCAAGAUACAGUCUUUGGAACAGACAGGCCUUUGAAUGAUUAUAUACCUAUUAAAUUUCUGCUGAAUGCUGGACUGGACUCUCUGGUACUGUACAGGACUGGUAAUACUGGUCUAUCAAUUGUCUAUCAGUACAUAUUUUAAUACUGGCAUGACUUAGUUUUCAUAGUGUCACUAUGUUUUGUGGUGUAUUGCUGGGUUGGAUGCUGGCAGGGUGGGAGGAAGAAAGUCGUCCGGAGAAGCGGUGCUGCUAAACACAGCAGACAUUUGCCCUUGGAGGGAGAAAAAGCAACAGGAGGGUUUUGUAGCCUUCCCUAGAGCAGUACAUUGUGCAGUGAUUCCCGAUUCUCCUGGGACAGGCUGGAGCAACAACCUGUGGUAUGGGCAGGGUUUGGCUGUGACUGCCCCUAACUGGCCAUUAGACAGUGCCAAGGGUCAAUAAAACUGUUAAGUCUUGCCAAUUGAUGUAUCAAGGGAAAUGCAAGUGAGCGAAGGUAGUUACUGAGAUUUCUUCAGUUCACUUAGAAUUGUUAACUUAAAACAAGUUUGACACUAAGGAAGCUUUAUACUUGGGAGUUCUGGCACUGGUAAAGGUCAGGUUCCACAUGUACACUCUCACAGUGAUUGUAAAAAAGAGAUUGCUUUGGCUGAAGACUUUUCUCUUGAGGGUGCAUUAAGAGUUAUUCUGGGAAUGAAAAAUAGUUCUAGUUCUUGAAAAAUAUAGACGUAGAGACAUAAAGUUCUUUUUAUUGUUAGUUCCUUUGCAUCUUGUUUUCCUGGGGAAUGCUUUUAGUCGUUAAGUAUUUUGUGAUUGCACAGAGAACCAUUCAGUGGUCAGCACAGUGAGGCAGGAGUGCACAAGGAGGUGCCUGUGGUUGCCAGGGGGCUCGGUGAUGCUGCUGUGCCUGUUCCUGUGCCUGUUCCAGUGCCCGUGGCCCUGCUGCGGUGCAGUUUGAGCAGAGCUCAGUGGGGACAAGCACAGUGGGCCGUGAAUGUCACCACAACCUUCCUAGAGAGCUGCGUGUGCAGGGCUGGCGCUUGCUCUGCCUGUUUUAUUAGGAGGCGUUUUAUUAAAAUGCACUUAGGCAAGCUCUUUACUGUGAGGCAAUUACUGCUGGGAUCAUUCUCAUGCAGCGGUAGCUGAAUGAGUUCAGAGGAAUCUUGGGGUGCUCAAUCUGUCCUGUGCACUGCAGUCUGGGGGAACCCUCUGGAAGUGAAGAUCCCUGGCAAUGGGAUUCCAGCAAGCCGUGCUUUUACUUUACCCCAGCUUCAACUGGCAGUGAUAGGGACCAAGGGUGGGAGAGCAGGAGUGAAAAUCUUGGCUGCAGGGUUUCUGGGAGCAGCCUCGUGUCCACAUGGAGAGAUGCAGCCACUGCCUGGCACCAGAGAGAUGUCAGUCACACAGUCUGGGAACCUGGGCUUUUAAACUUGGCAGAUCUGCGUUAUCAUAAAAAGGUAUCUCAAGGGUUAAGAAUUUAGACUGCAGUGCAUUUAGAGUGAAGGGAAAAAAUCGUUUUCUUGCUGGAUUGCGUUUGCAGCAGCUGAAAGCCAGACGUGUGUAUAGCCAGGUGCCAGCCAAGCACUGAGCACUGGCCUGUCCUCUCACCUGGAAGGGGGGUUCUAUUGACUUGUUAUUUUGAGAUUUCUUCAGUAUGUGUGUAUCUCUCUUAUCACAGUGCCUGCAGACACAAAGCAUGACCUAGCAAAAAGGAGAAAAGCACUUAUUGUGCAACGUGUGACUGCUUUUCCCUGUGCAAUACGGGAGCUGAGAUCUGCAGCGGUCCCGCUGCCUUCAGUGGGAUCCUUGCGGGUGGAGGGGCUGAGCUGUGAGUGGCUCAGCAAAAGCUCUGGGCUCUGGCAUCUCCAUGAUUAAUGAUAUCUUAACCCUUAUGAAUGAUUAUCCUUUUCUGGCUGUAAAAUACAUACACUGUUUUAUUUCAUUACCAUGAGGUGAAGAUCCAACACUGACAGGUGCUGGGAAUUAGCAGGCAGUUUUGAAAUUGUUCUGUGCACUAGAAAUUAGAUCUCAUUUUAAUUCAGCUUUUCCAAACUAGUAAAUGAGGUUAAUGCCAUACAUAUUCAGCUGAUAUGGAUGAAGAAAUUGAUAUAAAGUAGAUCAACAUAGCUACAGGGCUACUUUAAUUUAUACGUAAAGAGGCAGUGAUAAAUGAAAGUAAUGUAGUAGUGGUCACUAAACUCCUCAGCCAUCAGGGAUUCAAUAGUGUUAGCUGCUCAUUAAAGACAUGGUUGGGGUUACUUCAAAUAGAAAUUUGAAAAGAAAUAGCCAACUAACCCUUAAUUAUCAAAACAUAGAAAAUACUAAUUAUGCCUUAAUUAGCUUUUCUUUUAAUGUACUGAAAUUGUUACUUUUUGUGUAGCACAAAUGGAUAGUUAUAUCAACAAUAAAUAGGUUGUUUUAAUAACUUUCUUUCACCUCUGGGAAAACCACACUCCAAUUUUUAAUAUGCAAUAAUGCUUCUCUCUAGCCUGUAGGAGAUGAAAAUUAUUAAGUAGCUUUAUUUUUUGAAGAUCUUACAGCAGCUUUGGGAAGAAUUAUUUCACUAUGCAUCAAUUAUUUUUAAUUGAACUGAAUAUAUUUCAGAUUGCAUGAAAUGCCUCUCAUUUAAGUUUAACAUUUAGAGUUUGUUAAGGAAAUAUCACAGUGAGAAUUGGAUACAACUUAUUUCUGUGGCAUAUUCUAGGAAGAAUAAACAUUGUUU